UAAUAUAUGCCUUGUCAACAACACAGUUUAACAAAACAAUUAUUUUCAAAAUAUUGUUCAUCGUUUAUUUAACUCUCUUAAACAUAAUAUAUGCAACGUCAGCAUUUUAAAGUCACUUUAAGUAAGGCGUGUACUUAAAUUCUUUUUAAUGACAAAAUUCUAUGAUCAUGCAUUAAAAAAUAUACAGGAAAGAAAAACAACCAGAAAAACAACCAAAAAUAUUUAAUGGAUGCAUAGAUUAUUAAAUGUUUUUGUUGCAUUAAAGAUUUAAUCUUUUACAAAUUUUAAUACAGCAAACAACAUAGUAAUAAUAUUAGAUGCAUGCAAUACAUUGGUCAAAGACAAAACAUGAUACUGUUAAGUUAAACUGUGAGCUAAGAUCCAUGUAUGCAAAUAAAUAGCAAUUGUUGGCAGGAAGGUAGCACAUUCUCAAUAUCGGCCAGGGAAUACUUUCAUGCUGUCCAAAAUUCAUUCACAUGCAAAAUAACAUCAGAUGUAUAUUAUGCAAUUUGAAACAAAGCAUGUGUUAAACAGAUGGAUGACCAAGUGAGUGAGUGGG